CAGCAGCCGCGGGAAUACGGAGGGUGCGAGCGUUAAUCGGAAUAACUGGGCGUAAAGGGCACGCAGGCGGUGACUUAAGUGAGGUGUGAAAGCCCCGGGCUUAACCUGGAAUUGCAUUUCAUACUGGGUCGCUAGAGUACUUUAGGGAGGGGUAGAAUUCCACGUGUAGCGGUGAAAUGCGUAGAGAUGUGGAGGAAUACCGAAGGCGAAGGCAGCCCCUUGGGAAUGUACUGACGCUCAUGUGCGAAAGCGUGGGGAGCAAACAGGAUUAGAUACCCCCGUAGUCCCUGUCUCUUAUACA
rnacentral:rRNA from 1 species